AGGAAAUUGCUUGUACCAAUAACGGUACAAAGUAUUCCAUAAAAGUCUCACCCUAACAGCAGCAUUAAGACAACUGGAUAUUUGCCAGCCUAAAUAAGUAAAUAUGACAUAUCUCCAGCUGAUAUAAAUCAAGUUCAAUAUACACUGUGAGAUUAUAUAGAUGUAAGUAUUAACAAUCCUUCCUUCUUUUAACAUUUAAAAUAUGCCAUAUGGAAU